GGGCCCGCACAAGCGGUGGAGCAUGUGGUUUAAUUCGAUGAUACGCGAGGAACCUUACCAGGGCUUAAAUGUUAGGUGACAGAUCUAGAAAUAGAUUUUUCUUCGGACACUUAACAAGGUGCUGCAUGGUUGUCGUCAGCUCGUGCCGUGAGGUGUCAGGUUAAGUCCUAUAACGAGCGCAACCCCUGUUGUUAGUUGCCAGCGAGUAAUGUCGGGAACUCUAGCAAGACUGCCAGUGCAAACUGUGAGGAAGGUGGGGAUGACGUCAAAUCAUCACGGCCCUUACGUCCUGGGCUACACACGUGCUACAAUGGUAGGUACAGAGAGCAGCCAAUGCGCGAGCUUCAGCUAACCUCAAAAAUCUGUCUCAGUUCGGAUUGAACUCUGCAACUCGAGUUCAUGAAGUUGGAAUC
rnacentral:rRNA from 1 species